CACAGGAGUCCAUCUGGAAGACAGAAACCGUCCAGCUGAGGCUGAUGAUGACUUCAGGUUGGUGGGAGGAAGCUCUGGCUGUUCAGGUGGAGUGGAGCUGAAACACCUCGGAGAAUGGAGACCAGUGGACGACGAUUACUGGAACAUGAAGUUAUCAACUGCAGUCUGUGAACGUCUGCGCUGUGGCUCUGCUAUUUCAUUGAAAGCAACAUCUGAGUCAUCAUUCAGAACUGUAUGGAGGGUUGAAUAUGAAUGUUCCAAGUCUCCAUCAGAUUUGAAGAACUGCUUCAGGUCCUCUUAUGCUUCCUCUUUCAUUAUUCUCACGUGUUCAGACUCGGUGCGGCUGCUGAAUGGAUCCAGUCGCUGUUCAGGCAGACUGCAGGUGAAGACU